GCGGGCUAUACAUGCAGUCGAGCGGACGGAUGGGAGCUUGCUCCCUGAAGUCAGCGGCGGACGGGUGAGUAACACGUGGGCAACCUGCCUGUAAGACUGGGAUAACUCCGGGAAACCGGGGCUAAUACCGGAUAACUCUUUUCCUCACAUGAGGAAAAGCUGAAAGAUGGUUUCGGCUAUCACUUACAGAUGGGCCCGCGGCGCAUUAGCUAGUUGGUGAGGUAACGGCUCACCAAGGCCACGAUGCGUAGCCGACCUGAGAGGGUGAUCGGCCACACUGGGACUGAGACACGGCCCAGACUCCUACGGGAGGCAGCAGUAGGGAAUCUUCCGCAAUGGACGAAAGUCUGACGGAGCAACGCCGCGUGAGUGAUGAAGGUUUUCGGAUCGUAAAACUCUGUUGUCAGGGAAGAACAAGUACCGGAGUAACUGCCGGUACCUUGACGGUACCUGACCAGAAAGCCACGGCUAACUACGUGCCAGCAGCCGCGGUAAUACGUAGGUGGCAAGCGUUGUCCGGAAUUAUUGGGCGUAAAGCGCGCGCAGGCGGUUCCUUAAGUCUGAUGUGAAAGCGCCCGGCUCAACCGGGGAGGGUCAUUGGAAACUGGGGAACUUGAGUGCAGAAAGGAAGAGUGCAAUUCCAGGUGUAGCGUUGAAAUGCUUACAAAUUUUGAGGAACACAGUGGUCUGAGGUCGACUCCUUAGUUUGUAUAUAACCGUUAGGCUCGAAAGCGUGUUGGAGUAAAGAGCGGAUUUUGUUCUACCCUGGUUUGCCCGCGUCCGGCACUACACUAUUUGGUUGUCUAAUUGUUUCUCUUGGGUCUGUUCCU
rnacentral:rRNA from 1 species